ensembl:snRNA U2 U2 spliceosomal RNA
AUCGCUUCUCGGCCUUCUGGCUAAAGAUCAAGUGUAGUAUCUGUUAUAUUAAUAUUAUGGGAAGUGUUCAAAUAUUCUUACAUCAAAUACAUAGUAUGUAUCAUUC